UACGGAGGGUGCGAGCGUUGUCCGGAGUCACUGGGCGUAAAGGGCGCGUAGGCGGCCUGAUAAGUAGGGGGUGAAAUCCUGCGGCUUAACCGCAGGGCUGCCUUCUAAACUGUCAGGCUUGAGCACAGUAGAGGCAGGUGGAAUUCCCGGUGUAGCGGUGGAAUGCGUAGAGAUCGGGAAGAACAUCAGUGGCGAAGGCGGCCUGCUGGGCUGUUGCUGACGCUGAGGUGCGAAAGCUAGGGUAGCAAACAGG
rnacentral:rRNA from 1 species